rnacentral:rRNA from 1 species
GACGAACGCUGGCGGCGCGCCUAACACAUGCAAGUCGAACGAGAGAGAGGGAGCUUGCUUCCUCGAUCGAGUGGCGAACGGGUGAGUAACGCGUGAGGAACCUGCCUCAAAGAGGGGGACAACAGUUGGAAACGACUGCUAAUACCGCAUAAGCCCACGACCUGGCAUCGGGUUGAGGGAAAAGGAGCAAUCCGCUUUGAGAUGGCCUCGCGUCCGAUUAGCUAGUUGGUGAGGUAACGGCCCACCAAGGCAACGAUCGGUAGCCGGACUGAGAGGUUGAACGGCCACAUUGGGACUGAGACACGGCCCAGACUCCUACGGGAGGCAGCAGUGGGGAAUAUUGCACAAUGGGGGAAACCCUGAUGCAGCGACGCCGCGUGGAGGAAGAAGGUCUUCGGAUUGUAAACUCCUGUCGUUAGGGACGAUAAUGACGGUACCUAACAAGAAAGCACCGGCUAACUACGUG